rnacentral:rRNA from 1 species
AACGAACGCUGGCGGCAUGCCUAACACAUGCAAGUCGAACGAGACCUUCGGGUCUAGUGGCGCACGGGUGCGUAACGCGUGGGAACCUGCCCUUAGGUUCGGAAUAACUCCCCGAAAGGGGUGCUAAUACCGGAUAAUGUCUUCGGACCAAAGAUUUAUCGCCUUUGGGUGGGCCCGCGUUGGAUUAGCUAGUUGGUAGGGUAAAAGCAUACCAAGGCGACGAUCCAUAGCUGGUCUGAGAGGAGGAUCAGCCACACUGGGACUGAGACACGGACCAGACUGGUACGGGACGGAGGAGAGGGGAAUAUUGGGCGAUGGGGGAAAGUCUGAUACAGCAAUGCCGGGGGAGUGAUGAAGGCCGUAGGAUUGUAAAGCUCUUUUACCCGGGAUGAUAAUGACAGUACCGGGAGAAUAAGCUCCGGCUAACUCCGUG